ACCCUUUCACUGGGGUCACCUAAGACCAUCAGAAAACACAGAUAUUUACAUUACGAUUCAUAACAAUAGCAAAAUUACAGAUAUGAAGUAGCAAUGAAAAUAAUUUUAUGGUUGGGGGUUACCACAAAAUGAACUGUAUUAAAGGGUCACAGCAUUAGGAAGAUUGAAAACCACUGUUCUAAAGGAACUGCUAGUAGGAAACAUUUUAUA